rnacentral:rRNA from 1 species
GAUGAACGCUGGCGGCGUGCCUAAUACAUGCAAGUCGAGCGAACGGACGAGAAGCUUGCUUCUCUGAUGUUAGCGGCGGACGGGUGAGUAACACGUGGAUAACCUACCUAUAAGACUGGGAUAACUUCGGGAAACCGAAGCUAAUACCGGAUAAUAUUUUGAACCGCAUGGUUCAAAAGUGAAAGACGGUCUUGCUGUCACUUAUAGAUGGAUCCGCGCUGCAUUAGCUAGUUGGUAAGGUAACGGCUUACCAAGGCAACGAUGCAUAGCCGACCUGAGAGGGUGAUCGGCCACACUGGAACUGAGACACGGUCCAGACUCCUACGGGAGGCAGCAGUAGGGAAUCUUCCGCAAUGGGCGAAAGCCUGACGGAGCAACGCCGCGUGAGUGAUGAAGGUCUUCGGAUCGUAAAACUCUGUUAUUAGGGAAGAACAUAUGUGUAAGUAACUGUGCACAUCUUGACGGUACCUAAUCAGAAAGCCACGGCUAACUACGUG